rnacentral:misc_RNA from 1 species
UACGGAGGGUGCGAGCGUUAUCCGGAAUUAUUGGGCGUAAAGCGCGCGUAGGCGGCUUGAUAAGUCGGUUGUGAAAGCCCGGGGCUCAACCUGGGAACGGCAUCCGGAACUGUCAGGCCAGAGUGCAGGAGAGGAAGGUAGAAUUCCCGGUGUAGCGGUGAAAUGCGUAGAGAUCGGGAGGAAUACCAGUGGCGAAGGCGGCCUUCUGGACUGACACUGACACUGAGGGGCGAAAGCGUGGGUAGCAAACAGG